UUGGAGGGCAAGUCUGGUGCCAGCAGCCGCGGUAAUUCCAGCUCCAAUAGCGUAUAUUAAAGUUGUUGCGGUUAAAAAGCUCGUAGUUGAAUUUCGGGAUUGACGUGACGGUCGUGCCUUACGGGGUAUGAACUGUCGCCGUUGAUUUCUCACCUUCUGGAGAAGCUCGAUGUCCUUAAUUGGGUGUCUUGCGGAACCAGGACCUUUACCUUGAAAAAAUUAGAGUGUUUAAAGCAGGCAUUAUUGCUCGAAUACAUUAGCAUGGAAUAAUAGAAUAGGACGGCAUGGUUCUAUUUUGUUGGUUUCUAGGAUCACCGUAAUGAUUAAUAGGGAUAGUUGGGGGCAUUAGUAUUCAAUUGUCAGAGGUGAAAUUCUUGGAUUUAUUGAAGACUAACUACUGCGAAAGCAUUUGCCAAGGAUGUUUUCAUUAAUCAAGAACGAAAGUUAGGGGAUCGAAGACGAUCAGAUACCGUCGUAGUCUUAACCAUAAACUAUGCCGACUAGGAAUCAGACGAUGUUAAUUUUUUAAUGACUCGUUUGGCACCUUACGGGAAACCAAAGUGUUUGGGUUC
rnacentral:rRNA from 1 species